rnacentral:misc_RNA from 1 species
GAUGAAGAACGUAGUGAAAUGCGAUAAGUAAUGUGAAUUGCAGAAUUCAGUGAAUCAUCGAAUCUUUGAACGCACAUUGCGCCCGCCAGUAUUCUGGCGGGCAUGCCUGUUCGAGCGUCAUUUCAACCAUCAAGCCCCAGGCUUGUGUUGGGGACCUGCGGCUGCCGCAGGCCCUGAAAACCAGUGGCGGGCUCGCUGUCACACCGGGCGUAGUAGAUUUUAUCUCGCUCAGGGCGUGCUGCGGGUUCCGGCCGUUAAAAAGCCUUUUUUACCCAAGGUUGACCUCGGAUCAGGUAGGAAGACCCGCUGAACUUAAGCAUAUCAAUAAGCGGAGG